rnacentral:rRNA from 1 species
CGGCGGACGGGUGAGUAAUGCCUAGGAAUCUGCCUGGUAGUGGGGGACAACGUUUCGAAAGGAACGCUAAUACCGCAUACGUCCUACGGGAGAAAGCAGGGACCUUCGGGCCUUGCGCUAUCAGAUGAGCCUAGGUCGGAUUAGCUAGUUGGCGGGGUAAAGGCCCACCAAGGCGACGAUCCGUAGCUGGUCUGAGAGGAUGAUCAGUCACACUGGAACUGAGACACGGUCCAGACUCCUACGGGAGGCAGCAGAC